rnacentral:rRNA from 1 species
GACGAACGCUGACGGUGUGCUUUAGACAUGCAAGUCGAACGAGAAAGCCCUUCGGGGUUAGUAAAGUGGCGAACGGGUGAGUAACACGUGGGCAAUCUGCCCCUCGCAGGGGGACAACCGGAGGAAACUCCGGCUAAUACCCCGUAAGUUCAAAGGGAGGCAUCUCUCUUCGAAGAAAGGUAGCUUCGGCCAUCCGGCGAGGGAUGAGCCCGCGGUGCAUUAGCUAGUUGGUGGGGUAACGGCCUACCAAGGCGACGAUGCAUAGCUGGUCUGAGAGGGAUGAUCAGCCACACUGGGACUGAGACACGGCCCAGACUCCUACGGGAGGCAGCAGUCGGGAAUCUUGCGCAAUGGGCGAAAGCCUGACGCAGC